rnacentral:lncRNA from 1 species
UUAGGUUCAGGAUAGUCGGUAGAUAGCUCACUUUGUUGAGGGCUACAGUUGGACUUGCAUUCUAAAAAACUGUAGGUUUAUCUCUUUGAUACUUUUGGUCUUUCGUGGGCCCACGUGUCACUGUAAAUUAAAUUUUAUACUUUGGUUAUCUGUAUUACAGUAUGUAUGAAUUUAUUUAGCUUUUAUGCUACAAAAAUUAUUUACUGGUAACUCUAUAAAUAUUGUUUUAUAAGAAAAUAAAAUAUUUUAUUGAAUAUUUUUAUUAUAUCCAAAUAGUUAUAGUUUCACUUUAAAUUAAUGUUUUA